rnacentral:rRNA from 1 species
AUUGAACGCUGGCGGCAUGCCUUACACAUGCAAGUCGAACGGCAGCAUGAUCUAGCUUGCUAGAUUGAUGGCGAGUGGCGAACGGGUGAGUAAUACAUCGGAACGUGCCCUGUAGUGGGGGAUAACUAGUCGAAAGAUUAGCUAAUACCGCAUACGACCUGAGGGUGAAAGUGGGGGACCGCAAGGCCUCAUGCUAUAGGAGCGGCCGAUGUCUGAUUAGCUAGUUGGUGAGGUAAAGGCUCACCGAGGCGACGAUCAGUAGCUGGUCUGAGAGGACGAUCAGCCACACUGGGACUGAGACACGGCCCAGACUCCUACGGGAGGCAGCAGUGGGGAAUUUUGGACAAUGGGCGAAAGCCUGAUCCAGCAAUGCCGCGUGUGUGAAGAAGGCCUUCGGGUUGUAAAGCACUUUUGUCCGGAAAGAAAUGGCUCUGGUUAAUACCUGGGGUCGAUGACGGUACCGGAAGAAUAAGGACCGGCUAACUACGUG